rnacentral:rRNA from 1 species
GAUGAACGCUGGCGGCGUGCCUAAUACAUGCAAGUCGAGCGAACGGACGAGAAGCUUGCUUCUCUGAUGUUAGCGGCGGACGGGUGAGUAACACGUGGAUAACCUACCUAUAAGACUGGGAUAACUUCGGGAAACCGUAGCUAAUACCGGAUAAUAUUUUGAACCGCAUGGUUCAAAAGUGAAAGACGGUCUUGCUGUCACUUAUAGAUGGAUCCGCGCUGCAUUAGCUAGUUGGUAAGGUAACGGCUUACCAAGGCAACGAUGCAUAGCCGACCUGAGAGGGUGAUAGGCCACACUGGAACUGAGACACGGUCCAGACUCCUACGGGAGGCAGCAGUAGGGAAUCUUCCGCAAUGGGCGAAAGCCUGACGGAGCAACGCCGCGUGAGUGAUGAAGGUCUUCGGAUCGUAAAACUCUGUUAUUAGUGAAGAACAUAUGUGUAAGUAACUGUGCACAUCUUGACGGUACCUAAUCAGAAAGCCACGGCUAACUACGUG